CGCAGCCGCGGUAAUUCCAGCUCCAAUAGCGUAUAUUAAAGUUGUUGCAGUUAAAAAGCUCGUAGUUGAAUUUCGGGAUUGGCGCAUCGGUCGUGCCUCACGGGGUAUGAACUGGUGCAGUCAAUUUCUCACCUUCUGGAGAACCGCGAUGUCCUUAAUUGGAUGCCGCGGGGAACCAGGACCUUUACUUUGAAAAAAUUAGAGUGUUUAAAGCAGGCAUUUUUGCUUGAAUACAUUAGCAUGGAAUAAUAAAAUAGGACGGCAUGGUUCUAUUUUGUUGGUUUCUAGGACCACCGUAAUGAUUAAUAGGGAUAGUUGGGGGCAUUAGUAUUCAAUUGUCAGAGGUGAAAUUCUUGGAUUUAUUGAAGACUAACUACUGCGAAAGCAUUUGCCAAGGAUGUUUUCAUUAAUCAAGAACGAAAGUUAGGGGAUCGAAGACGAUCAGAUACCGUCGUAGUCUUAACCAUAAACUAUGCCGACUAGGAAUCAGACGAUGUUAAUUUUUAAUGUACUCGUUUGC
rnacentral:misc_RNA from 1 species